GUCUACUUCGUAACAGGGAAAUAUACAGAGGCUUUCUGGAGACCAAACUUCCUCAUUUUAGAAACAGAAAUAAAUGUAACGUUAGGCAUAAUGUCUUGGAACAAACGUCUAUUAUGUUCUUACAGCGCCCGAGACCAAACGUUCUCUUUAUCUAUUAUUGUUUUCUCUAAAUAUUUAGUACCUGAAAUGAGUGUCGUGAAGUCUUCCGGUACAGACCGCAUUCUGAUAAAUCGCUUGACCCAGCAAGAUAGCCUUCGAAACGCGGAAGUUAAGUGGACUCGACUGAAAUACGGAAGAGACGACUGCCUAAACUAAAUAAACCACUAUUCAAAUUAGACACUGUUAUUUAUCACGUUAUCUCCAGCAGGCGCAUUUGGGUGCUCACUUCAAACAGUGCACUGGGGAAAGAGACGUUUCCUCGUCCAGUUUUAAGUACUUGGUUUGUCAUUAUACACAGAACUAUUUUGCAUUUAUUAUAUAAUCCAUUGGGUUUUGUGACGCAAAUGAUGUUACCUUGGAUGUUUGAUUAGCAUGCCAUGGGGCCAGAAAACAGAUGCUAAAUAUUAAGCAUGGCAUGCAAUUUUAUUUAAUCUGAAUCUAGAACAUGAAACUUAAUUGCUUUCUUUGCAAAGUGAGAGUCCACAUUUCAUGACUUCGAUGGGCCUGCUGUUUGGAGUGGGGCCCACUUAUCCUGAGGAGGGAGACAGGUGAAGAAUGGGGGUGAUGCACAGCUUUCACAAGGAAACACAUAGCUGUCCAUCUCCAUCUGGCUCUGUGCUUUCGCUCUGUGCUUUCGCUCUGUGCUUCUCCGCUGUUUCACAGAGAUUGUGGAGAACAGAUCCCUGCCAGGAGACCUGCCCUUUGUCACCUGCUCUGUACCUCUCAUAAAGGAUGAUAAUCCAUCUGGUGUGGAGGGGGAAAGAGAGGUGAAGUGCCCUUUGACCUUUUGAAGGAGAGUGGAGCCGCUUCAUACCUCAUGGUCCUCGGCCGAGCUUGUUUGAUCUGGACUCACCUCAGUUCACACGUCUCAGCUUCUGGCACCAACCCAGAAAGAGGAGGGAUGUGAUGUAGAGCUGGUCGGAAUUGACCAGUUUAUUGGAAGAGCCCGAACUCAAGUUUUGUGAAGACAUACAGUACCUCUGAAAGUGCACCUAAGAUGAAUGAGGUCACCAGCAAAUACUAUGACAAUGUGACAGGUAAGUCAUAUCAGAAUCAGACCACCUGAACAGCCUCUGAACAUUAAGAAAGACAUCUGAGGGCGCGCUCUUGCCACUGUAAUUCACACUGCCUGCAGGGUACAGAGGUAUCUGUGAAGUUCAACUUUGUGAUGGAUGAGAUGGUGUCUUUGCCUUGCGGCCUCAAAGGGAUUAGGCUGCUCAGGUGUUGUUUUUAAAAGACUUAGAAUUAGCUCACAUUUAAACAUUUAAACUGUCUUUUGACACCACUUUCACCACCUUUUUGGUAAAAAAGAAGAUUGCCCCCACCCUGCAUUGCAGUAAACCUUAAGAUUAUGUUUGGUUCAUGACAACAAAAUUAUUUUAAGUGAUAUUUAAAAUUGUACAUAUGCAACUUUGUAAAACUUUGGCAGAGAUUUAAUUCUUUGGUUAUUAAUUACUGUAAAUUUAUUCAUGAAGCUUUUCUUGACGCUUUGAGUUGCUCAGUUCCACUGGGAGCAGUAACCUCUGUUAGUCUUUUGAUUCAGCAGUCCACACUUUGGCCUCAUUGCAGCCUCAGGAGAAUAAACACUUAUGCUAGAUGUAAAGAGAUGUUUGAGAAGCAGACCACGUAAGUGCAACCCGAAGAAGAAUAAUUGCAUACUUCAGGAAUUCUAUAAACAUGAUCUAUGAGAUAAUAUCAUGCUUCAUAGGACUAAUUUGUUCAUUUGUAUUCUGUGGUGUUGCUGUGGUUGGCCUCUGUUUAAGAUCCCUUAAAGGGAUGUUUUUACUUAAAAUGUAACAGUCUGUCAUCAUUUAUCUACCAUUAUGCCAUUUUAUCAGUGUUUCUAAUGCAAAACGCCAUAAAGAGGUAUUAACUGUUUUUCUUCAUCCAGUAAAAAUCCAAAAACACCAUUGGAUAUUUUUGUUCCAA
rnacentral:lncRNA from 1 species